CGUUCAAGCUGUAAACGCACUGCAGAAGUUAAAAAGUAUUUAUUUAUCUAGAUUUGUAAAAAUGUACAUAUAUAUUUUUGACAAUGUGUUUUUUCUCACUGCUUUGGGACGUGAACAAAAACAAAAAAUAAAUUUGUUAUAUUCUUUUGUAGAUGAGAUGAUACAGCAGCGCAAGGAUGAAUUAAAUGAUGUGAAUACAACUACGGAUGAAGAAAAGCGAACUCGUA